UAGGGAAUAUUGGACAAUGGGCGAAAGCCUGAUCCAGCAACGCCGCGUGCGCGAUGACGGCCUUCGGGUUGUAAAGCGCUUUUAGAGGAGAUGAGAAAGGACAGUAUCCUCAGAAUAAGCCUUGGCGAACUACGUGCGAGCAGCCGCGGUAAAACGUAGGAGGCUAGCGUUAUCCGGAUUUAUUGGGCGUAAAGCGCGUGCAGGCGGUUUGAUAAGUUGGAUGUGAAAUCUCCCGGCUUAACUGGGAGCGGUCGUUCAAAACUAUCAGACUAGAGAAUGGGAGAGGAAGGUGGAAUUCCGGGUGUAGUGGUGAAAUGCGUAGAUAUCCGGAGGAACACCAGUGGCGAAAGCGGCCUUCUAGACCAUUCCUGACACUCAGACGCGAAAGCUAGGGUAGCAAACGG
rnacentral:rRNA from 1 species